GACGUGUUUCGAAAGCGCAGAAGAAGGAGUUACUGCGAUGAAAACAAAACGACGCUCAGAAAUUAACCCUUAAAUUUAUAGAAACUCUAUCUCUUUCCUUCUGAAACGCAAUCCGUUUAUUUUACUUUAACGUGCAAUAGAUUUCUUCGAGCCGAUUUUGAACGCCUGCUAGGGAUCAGCUUUUUUCUGUAAGCACACUUGAUAAUAAAUUGCCUGUCUAGCCUCUAGCUGUCAGCUUUACCGUUAGCUUAGCUUCUUCUCGCAUUGUAUUGUUUUGUGUCUGUUUCUGGAGCCACUUUCGUUGGAAGCAGGUGUUGAUAAAUUCAAGACAUGUCGGAAGAUUAUGAAUUCAGCGAAGACCCGAGCAUGAUGAGAAUGGAGGAGGAUGGGGAGGGCAACUGUGACGAUCCCAUGUCCGCCUCUGGGGACUGUGGCCUGAUGGGAGGAGAGGCCGACGGAUCGAAGAUUGAUGCUAGUAAAAAUGAGGAGGAUGAAGGGAAGAUGUUUGUUGGAGGGCUCAGCUGGGACACGACCAAGAAGGACCUGAAGGAUUACUUCACAAAGUUCGGGGAGGUGGUGGACUGCACGUUAAAACUGGACCCUAUGACCGGGCGCUCUCGGGGCUUCGGCUUCGUGCUCUUUAAAAAUCCAGAAAGCGUUGAAAAGGUCGCCUCACAGAAGGAACACAAACUCAACGGGAAAGUGAUUGAUCCCAAAAAAGCAAAGGCCAUGAAGAGCAAGGAGCCUGUGAAGAAGAUCUUUGUAGGCGGGCUGUCCCCAGACACGCCCGAAGAGAAAGUCAGAGAGUAUUUCGGUGCCUUUGGAGAGGUGGAGUCCAUCGAGCUGCCCAUGGAGACCAAAACCAACAAGCGGCGGGGCUUCUGCUUCAUCACCUUCAAGGAGGAGGAACCAGUGAAGAUGAUCAUGGAGAAAAAGUACCACAAUAUCGGACUCAGCAAGUGUGAGGUGAAGGUGGCCGUGUCCAAGGAGCAGUACCAGCAGCAGCAGUACUGGGGAGGCAGAGGAGGAUACUCGACCAGGUCUCGAGGGAGAGGUGGGGGUCCCAACCAAAGCUGGAACCAGGGUUAUGGUAACUACUGGAAUCAGGGAUAUGGGAAUUACGGAAAUUAUGGUUAUGGUAAUCAAGGAUAUGGUGGCUAUGGAGGCUAUGAUUACUCUGGUUACAACAAUUAUUAUGGAUAUACUGACUACGACAAUCAGUCUGGUGGAUAUGGGAAGUCACCACGGCGUGGUGGUCACACCAACAGUUACAAACCGUAUUAAAGGGACAAACCCUCCACCUCCAAGUAGCGGAGCUUCCUUGCAGGCCAUGAGCUGACUCCCAGAUACUCUCAGGGCCCGCUCAAUGCGGACCGGGUAUGAGAAGCAUACGCUCUCGAAUGCUGCCGUUUGGCUUCGGCGGCGAAAGCGUCGGCCACAGAGACGAUCCAGCUAAAGACAUGGCUAGUUUAUGAAAGCAAAACGAAGACUGCUUUGAACCCACCGUACAUUUCUCCUGUAUUUACCCAAGUAUUUCAGUGUCCUUUUUGUUUUUUUGUUUGUUUUUUUCUUUUCGCAUUCGUUUAGAUCGCUUCAGGGUUUUUUCUCACGUCCUUCGUUCUUUCUUGGUUUGUGUUUGAAGUUCUCGCUGCUUCACGUCGUCCCGACCGACGCUUGUAGAGACGGCAGCAAAGAGACGAGAUCACAGUUUUACCUACUUUAUGGUGUUCAUCAGUCAUAUAAUACAAAUAUUCUUACAGAGUUUGACAUCCAUAAACGUACAUUAUAUACACGUGAUGUAUCGGACAUUAAAAUGAUCAAAAAUAAUAAUAAAAAGAAAAAGAACAACAACA